GUCCACGCCGUAACGAUGUCAACUAGCCGUUGGAGCCUUGAGCUCUUAGUGGCGCAGCUAACGCAUUAAGUUGACCGCCUGGGAGUACGGCAGCAAGGUUAAACUCAAAUGAAUUGACGGGCCCGCACAAGCGGUGGAGCAUGUGGUUUAAUUCGAAGCAACGCGAAGAACCUUACCAGGCCUUGACAUCCAAUGAACUUUCCAGAGAUGGAUUGGUGCCUUCGGGAACAUUGAGACAGGUGCUGCAUGGCUGUCGU
rnacentral:rRNA from 1 species